UUGACAUCCAGAGAAUUUAGCAGAGAUGCUUUAGUGGCCUUCGGGAACUCUGAGACAGGUGCUGCAUGGCUGUCGUCAGCUCGUGUUGUGAAAUGUUGGGUUAAGUCCGCAACGAGCGCAACCCUUAUCCUUUGUUGCCAGCACGUAAUGGUGGGAAACUCAAAGGAGACUGCCGGUGAUAAACCGGAGGAAGGUGGGGAUGACGUCAAGUCAUCAUGGCCCUUACGAGUAGGGCUACACACGUGCUACAAUGGCGUAUACAAAGAGAAGCGACCUCGCGAGAGCAAGCGGACCUCAUAAAGUGCGUCGUAGUCCGGAUUGGAGUCUGCAACUCGACUCCAUGAAGUCGGAAUCGCUAGUAAUCGUAAAUCAGAAUGUUACGGUGAAUACGUUCCCGGGCCUUGUACACACCGCCCGUCACACCAUGGGAGUGGGUUGCAAAAGAAGUAGAUAGCUUAACCUUCGGGAGGGCGUUUACCACUUUGUGAUUCAUGACUGGGGUGAAGUCGUAACAAGGUAAGCGUAGUGCU
rnacentral:rRNA from 1 species